AAUAACAAAAAAAGGUUGGGGACGAUUUUGAUUUUCACCCCAGACCUUAGGGACGAUUUCAGUACUUAACCCUUUCUUUAUCUUUCUAUCCAGGUUAUUUCAUGUAUUCAUCUUCAUUUUCAAUACGUUCCUGAUGUCUGUUCUUUUACAUAUUUUUCAAAUUUUAAUUCCAACUAAAUCUGCAUGUAAUUUGAAAUUAAAAUUUGAAUCUUAAAUAUGUGCAACCUUAUCAAGCAUUCAAUCCAUCUCUCAGAUAAUCAACUUUCGAUUUUCUUCUUACCAUAACCGUCUUUCUUUCUCUAUCUUCUCUCAUGUCUUUCUCUCCUAGAGCUAUAUAUCUUUCUACAUCAUUUUUUUUUUCUUUUAUUUUUGUUCUCUCUGUCUUCUCUUUGUCAAGUGGAGAGUUCUUGAUGGUAUUAUGGCACGGUAUUUGUUGCAGGGAAACAGAGGAAAAAAGUAGAGACAUGAUAGGAAAGAGCGAGAGAUGCAUACUGGUGUCGACAACAAUGGGAUGAUUCCGAUGGCGAUAGACACGAAAGAGAAGUCACAGUUGCAGCACCGGGAGCGGCCAGCAACGGUCUUGGUGUGAUGAUUCUGUAUGCUCUGCUUAUAGUCUUCUUUUUCUGGUGUGGAGUUGUUGAUGCAGAAAAUCCAGAACCUCAUUAUUGUUGUCGGGAUUCUAUUUGUAUUUCGCUAAAAGAGUAAUUUAGGAACUAAGGCAAAAGAAGUUCUUGCUGUGUAGCUACUGUGGAAGGGUUUAGGGCUUUCCCAGAGUAAAUGAUGGGAUCAUCGGUUUCCAUAAUAUCUAUAAUGGACUAAGUUGAGUAUUCUUACAAUAUCAAGGCAAUAUUUGGAAAAGGAGAUUCUCUCAACAACUUUUUUUUUUUAUGCUUUUGAUGGGAAGGGAAUGAUAGAGAACAUUCCCAAUUUAAAUGCUCUGGUAAUUCAUGACUGAAGCACCACAAACCUUAAGAGUGGAAGGUUAACACUGUCCAAAAGAAAUAGACCCUUUUAAGUGCACAAUGUUCUGGUUAUUGUUAGCUAUUAAUUUAUAUUUUUAGUUGCUAAUUUAUUUAAGCUAAUUUCAAUUUACUGUUAGAGUUUUUUUGCUGUAGUAGAUACAAAUGAAAUGAUUAUUUGUUGUACGUGGGCAUUGGACAAUCCAUUAAAAUGUUUCUUUGAAUUAAUGAAACCCAAUGUUUAAAGCCUCUUCUUUAUGGAGAACGGUAGUUGGUAAACGUGAUGUAUAUGUUUUUAUAUAAAUCACAAACUCAAAUUUCAUUCUCACCUUCCCUCUGAUAUGGUACUCAUGUCAAUCUUUUAUAAUA